AUGAGUGAAGAUCUUCCUUCCCCCCUUGUGUCUUACCAAGGACCGAGUUCCCACUUAUGGCGGAAAAAAAGUAUACCAUCCCACCCGGCCUAACCCGAGGGAUUAAGGUUCCUCUCAGAGAUUGUGUUUUUAGAAAAAAAAGGAGAAGGACAAGGGCCGCUAGUCAGAAAAGCUAUAACUAUCAAUUCGAAUUCUGAAUGA
rnacentral:rRNA from 1 species